rnacentral:tRNA from 1 species
GCCCCGGUAGCUCAGCCCGGUCCGGAGCGCCCAGGAGCUUAGCUCCGCGUGAGCCUCGUAAGCCAUAGCACCAAGAGAGCGGGAGGUCCCGGGUUCGAAUCCCGGCCGGGGCU